rnacentral:misc_RNA from 1 species
GAUGAAGAACGUAGCGAAAUGCGAUACGUAAUGUGAAUUGCAGAAUUCAGUGAAUCAUCGAAUCUUUGAACGCACAUUGCGCCCGCCAGUAUUCUGGCUGGCAUGCCUGUUCGAGCGUCAUUACAACCCUCAGGCCCCCGGGCCUGGCGUUGGGGAUCGGCGGAGCCCCCCGUGGGCACACGCCGUCCCCCAAAUACAGUGGCGGUCCCGCCGCAGCUUCCAUCGCGUAGUAGCUAACACCUCGCGACUGGAGAGCGGCGCGGCCACGCCGUAAAACACCCAACUCUUCUGAAGUUGACCUCGAAUCAGGUAGGAAUACCCGCUGAACUUAAGCAUAUCAAUAAGCGGAGGA